UUAAUUUGCAGGCACCAAAAUGUGAAAUUAUGAAGAAAGGUGCAUUGGCUUGUAGUGCAAAAGAAGGAGACAAGUCUAGAACAAAAGAUCAUGCCUCAGAAGAAUCAGAACAGCUGAACCCAGAUAAAAAUAAAUUGCUGUCAGUUUCGGAUGUCGAUGAUGCAGUGGAUACUCUUCAAAUUCAUAUUACAAUUCUACAUUUAUUGAACUGGAUUCUUCUAUUUAGUGCACCUUCAUUUAUUUACUGGUUUAAAAAUCUCAGCUAUUCUAGAAGGCUUGAUCCUGAUCCCUGCGGUUCUGUUGCAAUUAUCCUUGUGUUCUCGAUGGGACUUCUCAUUAAUUCACAUUCGACAUCAGUUAAGAGAAGCAAGCUGCUGAAACACACAGCGAGACUGCAGCUCCUCUUAGCCAUUGCUGCGGCAGCCUUCGGAUUGGUACACUUAUACAGGGUUCCUUAUUUAAUUACGGUUUCAUUGGUUUUAUGUGCACUGGGUUGCCUGGUAUAAAUGACUGUAACAUGGUGACUUAUCAAUUUAACUCAUCAUACAGACAGCAUCUCACAAAAUGUAUAUUUUGUAAUUUUUUUUAAAAAAAAACAACGGUGCUACAUAAUUGUAGUUGGUUAUUAUUGGCAUGCCUCACUGACUUAUUGCAUAAUGUAACUUGUUAAAAGUUCCUAGAUUUUAGAAUAUUUAAAAAGAUACUGCUUGAUGUACAUUGUCAAAUUUUAAUUUUCUUGCUAUAAAUGAAAAUCCAGAGUAUUAUAUCUUAAGUCUUCUUCAGUGUGUUGCUUUGAAUUAGAUAACUCUCAAGGCACAUUGUAGAUUGCCUCGUGUGGUAGCCUUUUUUAAACAGACCAUUUCAGGGCUUUUAUACAUAAUACCUUUGACCAUGUUCAGGCAUCUCCAAAGAGACUUGAAUAUGAUUUGGUUGCCGAUAAUAAUUUUAGCUCAAGAGAUCCCAGAAGUGGUUCUGAAUUUUUGGGGAUUCUCACUUUAACCAAUCUGAGUAAAGGGAAUUAAAGAGAACAGAAGCGGCAGGAUUAGGUAACAUCUGUGCAGAGAAAAAAUGUUCCAGGUUGAUGACCUUUCAUUAGCAAUGGCAAAGAUGAUAAAUAACACGUUUUUAGCAAGGUGUAGAGAUAGGGAGAAGGAAUGAAAAAUGAUAAAAUGGAAAGUUUGUAAAGGAGUUGAAUGCAAGAUUAAAUGGCAAAAGAACGAUGAUGGGUCAAGUGAAGAAACAAAAGAUAUCAAAAGAAUUGGCAACACCAGAAUCAUUAUUAACAACUGCAGUUCAAAUACAAAAUGAGAGUAGUGGUUAUAGUCUGAAAUAGUUGAACGGAGUCUAGCAGACUGUAAAUUGUCUAACUUAAAGACUGCUGUUCCUCCAGCUUCCACUGAUGUUCACUGCAACACUUUGGGAAGCCAAACUCAGAGUCAAAGUGGGGUGGAAAAUUAAAAUGGCAAGUGACCAGAAGCUCAGUACCACAGUUGUUUGAACGGAGGUGUUCAGCAAAGCACCCUCCCACUCUACAAUUGGACGACUCAAUGCAGAGUAGAUCACGUUGUGAACAAAUAUAGCAUAGUAAUGUCUUCACUUAAAAUUGUGAAUGCAUUCCUAAAAAUAGUUAGUUUAAGUGAUGUGACAUUUCAUGAAGUGUGAUUUCCCCUAAGAAUCAGUAUAAUAGCUAAAGUUGCGUUCCUAUGGACAUUUAUUACUAAAACCAAUAUACAAACAAAUACACACUCUUAGCUGAAAUACCUCGCAAACUAAAGUAAGUCAUUAGAUAAGCACUAUAUUAAUUGAAGGGAUAACAUUUACAGUUCAUAUGAUGUGUUUUAAAAUGUGCAUUUCUGAUAACUCAGAGGGUAGCUUUUCUAAUAUUGCAACAUAUCUAAAAUACAAUGUGUGGUCAUAAAUUGGCAAUUAUAGCUCAACAAACUAAUUCCGUAAAAAUAAUAUCAGGUCUCCAGUUCCACAGUAAAAAUGAGACAGAAGAGCUAAAUGUGAUGCAAGUUAUACGUUUUGGAUGAAUUGUGCUGAUUUUGUCUCAUUUUCUGGUGGUGCUAUUUUUCAUGCUCUGCUUUGUAUCUGAUGCUUAGCAGAAACCCAGGCAUGGGAAAAUAAAGAAGCUGUGCAUCUUCCAGUGUCUUUUGCUGCCUCCCUGGUGCCUGCUGCAUUAUGGUGCAGAGUUUCAGGGAUUGGGUAUGUGGGUCAUGAAACCAAGACAGCGUAGUCACAAUGGUGCCAAGUUCCCAAAAUCCUUGCAGGCACCACUGCCCUCACCCAUGCUGCACCUUCUCCCAAUCCCAAUACACCCUCCUACCCAAGAUCAGAGUAACUGGACUGACCCAGGAAUGGCUUGAAUGUUCUAGCCUAGUGCCAACUCUUGCCUGCCGCUAGAAUGAAGGAGGAUGUCUAGCUAUGGGCCAUAUGCUGAUCUGCAAUAACACUGAAGCACAAUUUCAGCCCUGAUUCACCACAUAUACAGGCAAAAGUUAUUGCAAUGAAAAUAACACAAAACACAAAAAAAAGACCUCCAAAGAAUUAUGUACUUUAAAAACAAAAUUAUGUCAAGCAGGGAAACUAAAAGUGAUGACUUUGUGUUUUAAAUUAAAGAAUGUAUGAACUCGACAGUGUUUCACCUGGAUAGUUUGUUUUGGGGCAAUAACAAAGGAGGUAAAAAAAUUUGUGAUGUACUCCUGGUGCUUGCACAGGAAGCUGAAAUGGGAAGGGGAUGACUGUAUAACUGUCAUCACUGAAGCUUGAAGAACAGCACUUUGUUAUUUUGUUUAGUAUGUAACAGUCCUCAGACUCAGAAUUCCAGGUCAGCAAUUUCUCAUUUAUUUUAGGUUCCAUUGUUGCCACUUACACCCCCUCUCAAACCAUAUUUUCUUUCUUGUCGUUUACAGUCUCCCUUUGGCCUUGCAGCAUUAUCUCUCCUUACUCCUACACUAUCACAGAGCUUCACUUUUGCCUUCCUACUCCUUUCCCUGUGUCAGUACCUGCUUACAGCCUGUUGUGUCUCCAAAUUUUGACUGUUCUGCUGAAAGGUCAUUGAUCUGAAAUGUUAACUUUUUUCCUGCCCAGAUGCUGUCUGACCUGCUUUUUGGAGAAUCUCAGUUGCAGGUUACAGUUUAGCUGUGGGCUUAGCUAGGCUAUCAUCACAAUGUCAACUUCCUUCUUGUAAUGUUAUUCUACUUUUUAGCUAAGCCUCUUAAAUGGCGCAUUAUGUAUUAGAAGAAUAUGGUGGGAUCCCUUUAGGUAUAAGCAGUGGUGGGGAAGAAAUUCUGUGAACUGAAAAAAAACAACUUAUCUUUACUUAAAAAGAGGAAACUAGCAAUGGGCAAACAUCAGUAAAGGAGUCACAAGGCUUUAAAAUGAUGCCAUGAGAUGAGAUUCUAGUGUGCAAAAAUGUGAACUGUUCUUCUGAAGUUCUUCUUUCUACUAUUUUAACAAGACGUUAAACAUUUUUUAAUGCAUUCACUAAAAUAACAAAGGAGAAUUUAAUACUACUGUAUUUAGAUUUUAAAUGCUACUAUCCAAUGACAAAUUUAGGACUGAUGUAUUCUAAAACUGGAGAGUAUUGUUGGAGAGUUUUAGUUAGUUUGGAAUUAGACGAAACAAAAUUGGAAGACCUUCUCUUAUAUCCAACACUACAGGGUACUUAGUGCACAAUAAAGCCAAGCUAGCCAGAUAGAUUGAGACUGAUAUUUACUGUUUUGGAGGGCAAAAUUCUAAAGAAAAAUAUUGAUUUGCACAAAAAUAUCAAAAUUUGACAUGUCUGAUGACAAGUUGUUCUAUUAAUUAAGUGUUUUAAAAUGUAUUAUGAUAACUCAAUUUAAAAAAGUUUUUUCAGAGGUUCAGAUUUCCAUGUUUUCUUGCGAGUGUUGAGCUAUUUAUUUGCCUCUGGUGGCAAGGAUGAGCAGUAGCCUAUUCUGAUUCUAUUUGUCCUUCUCAGUAAAUGUUUAAAGAACUUGAGAGACAGAGUUACACCCUCUUCCUGUUUUCUACAGUAUCGUCUCUAACCGUAUAUUCACAUGCACAAUUAACAGCUAAUAUUGAGCUAUUUUGGGAAAUAAUAGUGCCAAAGCUGUAGAAAUAAUAAAACCAAUAAUGAACAGUGUUAAUAUUACGCUACAAAGUGUCACAUUACAUAAUACCACAGAUAUGUACAAUGCAAAAGACAUCUAGAAAUGGAAACCAUUGAAAUUCCUGUUUCCUGAAAGUUGGACUGGGAAAUUUCAUUUAACUCAUGGUUUCAUCAAGCUGAAUCAGUUGUGUUCAAUUUACAGCUCUGAUUGAGAUUGGGAACUCAUUAUGCUGAGAAUCUCAGGUUGUUCGGCAAGUCCAAUAACUCCGUGCUGCAUGAUAGUAUCCUAACUACAAUGCCAUUAGUGCCACCCUCUACUUUCUCUUGAGAGUUUAAUUUUUUUCCCCAAAAUAGGCUGAAUAUAUACCACUGCCUGCCUAAAGAAUAUGAUGUCAUGCCUAAUAAGGACAGUCACUAGAAUAACAGGCAAAAGUAUAUUAUGAAAGUUUUGAACUUUUAUUGCACAACUUAUUUAGAAAAUGGCAGCUUCAUUUUUAGAUGAAACAAAGUCAUUGAUGUGAAUUUCUAUCCAUUUUGCUCCAAUAACCAAUCAGGAGAAAAUAGUGACCUUGUCGUUACAACCUGCAGCUGACACUUGCACCAAAGUUAUUAAUCAACCAAUUGGCCAAGCAUUUGCUGGUUUAAAAGUCACUGCUUAGGUUUUUGUGCUUUGACUGUAAUAUCACUGUUGCAACUUACUGAGGUACAUAUUUUGCAAUGGAACCACUUCCCUGUGCUUUAAUAAUUUGAAAAGGAUAUUUGUGAAACUAGUGAUGCGAAACACUUUUGUAAUCUAUUUAGUGAUGUAAGUGUUAAUUUUGGAACAAAGCUGUAUCAGUAAUGUUUGCAAGGUUUAUACAAUCUAAUGGUGUACAGUUUCUAACUGCAAAAUGGUUUGUGUGUAAACAAUCAGUUGUGGUAUUAAUACACACUUUAAGAAUUAAAUCUAAUUGAAAACAUCAA